CCUACGGGUGGCAGCAGUGGGGAAUAUUGGGCAAUGGGCGCAAGCCUUACCCAGCAACGCCGCGUGAAUGAAGAAGGCUUUCGGGUUGUAAACUUCUUUUAUGGGGGAAGAGCAGAAGACGGUACCCCUUGAAUAAGCCACGGCUAACUACGUUCCAGCAGCCGCCGUAAUAAGUAGGGGGCAAGCGUUUUCGGGAUUUACUUGGUGAAAAGGGGGUGAAGCCGGAGAGAAAAGUCAGAUGUGAAAUCCAAGGGCUCAACCCGUGAACUGCAUUUGAAACUGUUUCCCUUGAGUGUAGGAGAGGAAAUCGGAAUUCCUAGGGUAGCGGUGAAAUGCGUAGAUAUAAGGAAGAACACCAGUGGCGAAGGCGAAUUACUGGACGAUAACUGACGGUGAGGCGCGAAAGCGUGGGGAGCAAACAGGAUUAGAUACCCUUGUAGUC
rnacentral:rRNA from 1 species